AGGUGAUCUGGAUCUUGAUUUGCGACUCAUCUCCAUGCUAACUAGCUAAGUUAGCACUGAAGGGAGUGUAUUUGUAUCGUCCAGUGUUUCCUUACACCUAUCUCCAAACUACACAUCAAUUUUUUAAUAGUUUAUAUUUUUCUAUUAGACAGUUUCAUAAUAAUAAUAAUUAUAAUAAAUCAGUUUAUGUUUCAACACCAGAGGGGGCAAAUCCUGUUAAAGGUUUUGAAACAUCUGGUGACACAAUGAGGUCCGAUUUAACAAACAGUGGUUAGGUAAAAGAAAAUACCAACUGCAAAAUUCCUCAAAAAUAUGCAUUUACUCAAAUUUUUAAAUGGUACAUGCAAAAUUCUUUCAACUUUUCCUUUGUGGAGAAAAACCUUAUGAACCACAUGUAUCCAAUUACUGCACAUACCUUCAUGCACAACAGCCCAAACACUUGCUACUGUAAUCCCUAAAGAGUAAAAUUACACAACUUACUCAUAAUAUCUACUGUACAAUCCUGAGACCAGUAUUUAAAAAACAAAACAUCCACCUUCUACUCCUCAACAUAGUGAGAUUUAUAUUGGAAAAAAAAUGAGUAAAGAAGACCUGAGUGAUCAGAUCGCUAUAGUCAUGCUUUGCAUACAUUUGCAUUCAGGAGCAGUUAAUCUCUGCAGGAACUAGAUAUGGACAUGGUCUCUAGUGCAGAAUGGGUCUCACCAAGUUCCCCAGUGUGCACAUAUUAGAGAAAAUGAUUAAGAUAUAAUCAGAAAUAUGAAAAUGUCAUGCACAAGCUAAACAAGAUUAAUCCUGCACAUAUAUUAUCAAAAUUAAAUGAUCAUGACCUGACAGUUUUUGUGUCAUGUUUUUUCCCCCUCAUUUACAUAGUUGUUGUAAAGACUGAGGAAAAUAUAUAAUCUUUGCAAUAUCAGUCAGUCUCUCUCUCUCUCUCACACACACACACACGAACAGGUUGAAUAUUAUCAAAUACGCACAGAAGCCAAUCUAAAAACUUCUUUUAAAGCUGAACUUUGGUGGCAAAAUUACAGUCAAUGUUGUUUAACUCUCCACCUCCAAAACAGGUCUACAAAUGCUUAAAGCUGUGUUACACUCUGACAGAGUAAAAGAAUGUUAAAUAUUUAAAUAUUUUGUCUGUUGACAAAUUUGUCAGUUCCCCAUGGAAUUGGGAUGCUAAUGGACAGGCAACAUCACAUUUCCAAUGAUAUCUGCACUGAGGAUUUUUUCCAGUUUAUAGACAUUUAUGCUGGAUCUGAGCAGAGUUUGUCAUGGUCUGAAAGCAUGACAUCAUAUUUCCUCACUGCUCAUGUGGAAAUACAAACAACUUCGCCCCACCUCCUUGCUAACAGAGAAAGAGAAAGAAAAGGGGGGAGAGAGACAGACAUAUCGUUGUCUUCAAGACAUGGAGUUACGGCUCCACGUUGUUGCUACAUUGGUCCUUUCUUCGCUUGUGCUGCAGCUUUAGCCAAUCAAAAGCCCAGAAUGAUCCCAAACACACAUGCAGACAGCGGGAAAGCUCUCCGCCUGAUCUCCGCUCAAAGUUUUGAACACGCACAAAACUUUCUGAUGAACGUGGCUGUCAUCAUCUGAGAAGGAACUUAUUAUAACAGAUGGGAAAAGGACUUAUCAGA